rnacentral:rRNA from 1 species
GACGAACGCUGGCGGCGUGCUUAACACAUGCAAGUCGAACGGAAAGGCCCUGCUUGCAGGGUGCUCGAGUGGCGAACGGGUGAGUAACACGUGGGUGAUCUGCCCCUUACUUUGGGAUAAGCCUGGGAAACUGGGUCUAAUACUGGAUAGGACCAUGCUGUAGGUGGUGUGGUGGAAAGAUUAGUUUCGGUAAGGGAUGAGCUCGCGGCCUAUCAGCUUGUUGGUGGGGUAAUGGCCUACCAAGGCGUCGACGGGUAGCCGGCCUGAGAGGGUGGACGGCCACAUUGGGACUGAGAGACGGCCCAGACUCCUACGGGAGGCAGCAGUGGGGAAUAUUGCACAAUGGGCGCAAGCCUGAUGCAGCGACGCCGCGGGGGGGAUGACGGCCUUCGGGUUGUAAACCCCUUUCAGCCAUGACGAAGCCCUUGUGGUGACGGUAGUGGUAGAAGAAGCACCGGCUAACUACGUG